AAUGGCUACAGUCCCAUGGAUGCUGGAGAAGGGUCAGAGAAUGGCACUACAAACACAAAUAGACAGACAGCCCAUCAAAACACAGUAUGCAAUAAAUUAUGACCAAUAUUGUCUUAGAGAAGGGAUUCCUCCAACAACAUCACUCUGUGGGGACCGUAGUCGAAGUGAAAUGUUUCCUGACUCACCUUCCUGACUGCAGCCCUCAUCCCCUCCACCCGCCACGGACUUCCCCAGAAAGGGACAUCAAACCAGCAAGAAAACUCUCCUAAGGCUCUGCAACGGAUCAACCUCAUGCACAGCUCUGCCAUUUCAGUCAGUGGCAGCCAAGCCCUCCAUGGUUUCCUACUGAUAAAUCCAACUGUGUCCUAUGAGUAAUUUUUUUCCCCAGAUAUUACAGAAGAUAUCCUUUAAAGAUGUAUAUUUUAUUUAAUUUGGAGGUUUGUUCCAGUAUUUAAACCUUUCAUGAAAGGAUAAAUCCUGCAAUAUAGCAUUACUGACGAGGUGUAUUAAAUGCUCUCUUAAACU
rnacentral:lncRNA from 7 species